UUAAAUUGAAAGAGUAAAAUCUUUUGAAAUAAUUGUAUUUCGUCUGGAUAUGAAGAGGUAACUCAAAUAAACAUCAUAACGAUAAAAGCAAUCCAAUACAGAGUUAUCUUUUCUGUAUAAAAGCUAUUUUUUUUAGUUUGUAUUUAUAGUAAUAUAAAUAUAAAUUAAAAUCUUGAAAAAGUAUUGAGCUUGAUUUGUUCAGAGAAAUACUUUUUAUUUUGCUUUAAUA
rnacentral:rRNA from 1 species